GUCCUACAGAGAAGACACGAGUAUGGUUUUGUAUAAUAGAUUAAACUACAAAAUACUAUUCAGUGAUUGAUUUAUAAACAUGGAUAACCUCUCUAUUUGGAACGUUUCAGUAAUAAUUUGAUGAAAAGUAUGCCAGUAAAAAAGGAAGACAACAACAAAAGAUCAAUCGCUGCUAAAAGCAAAAUGAAGUAUGAAAGUGGAAUAAAAUCUGUUGACGAAGAGACCAUUAUGUCUUUGCUUGCUGAAAAUCUAUCU